rnacentral:pre_miRNA from 1 species
AGAUCACCUCAAAUGGAGCCACUGAUGAUUCUCUUCUUCAUAAGUGCUUCUCUUUGGGGUUGUCU